rnacentral:rRNA from 2 species
GUAGUGACUGCGGAAGGAUCAUACACACYWAAAUCUUUCCACGUGAACCGUUUUGAAGUUAGUUGGGCUGGUUGGGCGUCUUCGGAUGCUGGAUCGGCCAUCAAGAAGGUGCGCGCUAUGGUUUCGGUCGUCGCGCGUGUCUUUUUUUGUCAAACCCAUUUGCAAUUGAAACUGAUCAUACUGUGGGGACGAAAGUCUCUGCUUUUAACUAGAUAGCAACUUUCAGCAGUGGAUGUCUAGGCUCGCACAUCGAUGAAGAACGCUGCGAACUGCGAUACGUAAUGCGAAUUGCAGGAUUCAGUGAGUCAUCGAAAUUUUGAACGCAUAUUGCACUUUCGGGUUAUGCCUGGAAGUAUGUCUGUAUCAGUGUCCGUACACUAAACUUGCCUUUCUUGUGUCGUGUAGUCGGCGCGGGGAACGAGCAGAUGUGAGGCGUCUUGUCUUUUGGUAGACAAGUCCCUUUAAAGUCGGACGCGUAUCUUUGCGUGCGUGGAGUGCUGUUGGGCUGCGGGACGCGUCUGUUGACGAGUCUGGCGACCUUUGGCGCGGGCAUGCUUAGGCACUGUGUAUUGGCGGUAUGUUAGGCUGUGCUCUUUUGGGCGUGGCUUUGACAAUGCAGCUGAUGCGUGUGUGUCUUUGCGCUUGUGCUGUAUGGGUGAACCGGAUGGUCGAUGGGUUUUCGCGUGUUUCGUGUGUUCUUGGUGCUUUUAUUGCGUGUGGAGUGCGUCACCAUUUGGGAUUUUGUGCAUGUGGCGUGGUAGUUUUCUACUGCGUGGUGCAUCUCAAUUGGACCUGAUAUCAGACAAGAUWACCCGCUGACUUAGCAUAUCAUAGG